CAGAACAACAAAAUGUUAUGUUCCAAUCAACUGAGUAUUUUAAGCACAAAAGCUUAUAUUUUCACCUGAAAACCAGUGUUCCGGUUUUUGUUGUUGUCAGUUUGUUACUUGGUUUGAGUUAUUUUUUAAUGUUUAUUUGGAGAUUUUGUUUUGUUUUUAUUACUGUUUCACAGAUUUUCAUUUUUCUUCCUUGCUUGGUAGAAAUGGCUUCUUUUGAAUCACAAACAGAAUAUCCCUUCAGCCACCAGUAACUCAAAUCCUUGGUAAAACCAGCUCCUUGCUAAAUUCAUCACAAGCCACAGAUACAAACACCCCCCAAAAAAUGUACUACUUCUCUAGGUGCAGGCUGCAGCUUGGGGAAGGGCUUUGAUUGCCGGAUGUGAGACAGCAUUUUGUGAAGUGACUGGAGCAAGGGGAAACUUUGGCUAUGAAGACUUUCCUUGCAGACACACCCUCCAUGCCAGCCACUUGCAGGGAAUCAAUUGUCCCAGCUAACCCUCCAGAGGAAUUUCCUUCCCUUUGGAAAACUCAGCUCAGAUUCCGUCUGUGGUUUUCAGCAAGAAUACUGCUUUCCCCUUCUUCCCGCAUAAUUUUCCAGCCAGAUUGACUGAACUGCAGAAAGGUCAAAUGACUUACUUGGAGGUCCCUUCAGAUUGUCAUCGAGUUGCCCUCAAUAUGAGCUGAAGAGAGGUCUGGUCCCUGUACUGCAGCCGGAGACACAGAGAUCGGGUUUCCAGAACGCUAGCAAUCCCCAGCUUGCCGCAAAGUCAGAUGGAGAUGAGUGGCCAUGGAGACCACUCAGGAAGAAAAAGGAAAUAAAGAAGAGUGACAGUUUACAGGGGAAGAGUCGUGUGAAAUAUCAGCAGAGCAGCAUCAGUGGUGGCACAGAGGGAAAAGCCCCACAACAGAAGUGCCCCCAAAUCGUCACACACCAAUGUCCAUGACUUCAUGAGCAGCAGCAACUCAGGUAAGCAUGUGCUUUGCAGAUAGACAAAGCCCAGUCUGUGUACAGGUUUUUUUCCUAGUGGCUGUGAAAUUCAGAGGUGGGAGAGAAACCUGGGCUGUAUCAUAGACUGCCGGUGGUCCACCCCCUCCACCCAGCCCUGUAGACCGUCCAAAACAUUGUCAUUGCACCCCAGAAGGCAAGCAGACCUGGGAUAGAUCCAGAAUGGAUUACAACAUAAUCCAAUUCACAGGGAGGGGUAUUUUUGAAAGAGGAUUAUGGGUUUUUUUUGUUUUUUUUUUUUUUUCUGGCUGCCUGCCAGAAAAUAAAUAAAUGCUGUAACUCUCAUGUAAUGUUUUUAGAAGGUAUGGCAAUGGAAAGAGAAGGCUCUUUUCCAUGUCCAUGUUAGAGAGCAGGAGGAAGAAAGCUGAUUUUUGCAGCAGUGUGCCAAGCAAUCUCAGAGUAUGCAAGUUAGAAAUGCUGGUGUUUCCCACUGAGCGUUCAAGAACAGUAUGAAUCUGAAGAAAAUGGUGCUUCAUUUCUAAUCAGAACAAUGUAAUAUGGGUGUUGGGUCUGCAUCCCAGCAUCAAAAGGCCUCCUCCUGAACCCUUUGUGACCUUCAGGGAGGUUUGCAUAAUUAGCUUGAUUAAAUACAGCACAAUUUUAGCACCAGGGACCAAAACCCACAAAUUACCGAGGCUCGCAUGUUUUGCAAAAUAAUACCAUUCAUGUGAUUAUUUGUUUUGCUCUAAUCAUUUUUGAAAUAUUAUUCCAUUGCUUAGAUUUGAAUUGCUGGUUGUAACAGAUAGCCGGUUUGCAAAUAAAAUGUAAGUCCCUACAAAAAUGUUUCCAUUGCUUGAGAAAAUGUUAUUGGAGUUCCCUGGAGUUACAGUGAUGAGCUUGGUUAUUUGUAUUAAGGGGUACAACUGAAUAAGGCCUGAAGCAAGUUUUUCCAACUGUGUAUGCUGUCAUUUCGCUGGGCCUUCUUCGGGCUUUGCUUUCAUCAUUUUGAUUUUAGUGAGUUAAUCUCUAAUUUUCAGGGUGGGAAACCCAAUAUAAGCCAGACCCAGGAUACAGGAUAAUAUGUAGCUGGACUUCCAUAUCCAGAGAGAAUCAGGUCUUCCUGCAGAGAACACUCUGGGGUCUGCUUUCUUUCACGUUCCCAAGGGGUGCAUGUGGGAUCUGUAAUGGAGGGAACCGCUAUUCCAGUUCUCCCUGGGUCACAUAGGGUAGAAAUCAAGCAGGCAGUGCAUCCCCCAAAGCACGGCGAGAGAGGAAAUACCUGCCAGUUGAGGUAAAGGAUAGGCAGCCCUUCAGGCAGGUGACUCAGCUACCUCCUGCAUGCUAAAAGCAGUCUGUCUUGUUGUUUUCUCCCUACUCUCACAAGAGGCAGUAAUUUCUCACUGCCUGGGGGUGGAGGACAGAAGAAUGCUCAGAAUGUCCCAGGCCCAGACAGAGAGCUUUUUUUAUAGGAUCCUUGUCCUCUGCCAAGCACCGUUUUUCCACACAGCUUUGGCAUGGGGUGGCUGUGGGUCCCUGCUCAUCCACUGGCCUAUUUUGACUCUCACUGACAUACUCUGCAUCUUUCAGUCAGUGAAAAAGAGAAAUCAGGCAAGUGUUCUGGGUGAACAUGAUCCAGUUCGUGCGUAUACUUAGCUGUGUCAGACUGAGUUCGCAUCUAGCUUCUCCUCCGUCUGGCCCCUGAUCGCUUCCAGACUGAAGAACCCUCAGCUUGCAAAGUAUUUCAAGUAAUUCUGCCCUUGUCCACAUGGUAUCUACAGCCUCACUGUCAGCUGUCUUGCUGCACAGAUUUCUGCAACCCUCUGCUGUUAGCACACCCG